rnacentral:rRNA from 1 species
UACGUAGGUGGCAAGCGUUGUCCGGAUUUAUUGGGCGUAAAGAGCCCGCAGGCGGCUUGGCAAGUUUCGAGUGAAAUCUCCCGGCUCAACUGGGAGGGCGCUUGGAAAACUGCCAGGCUUGAGGCAGGGGGAGGGAUGUGGAAUUCCCGGUGUAGUGGUGAAAUGCGUAGAUAUCGGGAGGAACACCAGUAGCGAAGGCGGCUCGCUGGGCCAUUCCUGACGCUGAGACGCGAAAGCUAGGGGAGCGAACAGG